rnacentral:rRNA from 1 species
CCUACGGGUGACAGCAGUGGGGAAUAUUGCACAAUGGGGGCAACCCUGAUGCAGCCACGCCGCGUGAAGGAAGACGGCUUUCGGGUUGUAAACUUCUGUUCUUAGUGAAGAAGAAUGACGGUAGCUAAGGAGCAAGCCACGGCUAACUACGUGCCCGCAGCCGCGGUAAUACGGAGGUGGCAAGCGUUGUCCGGACUUACUGGGUGUAAAGGGAGCGCAGGCGGGAAGCCAAGUCAGCUGUGAAAACUACGGGCUUAACUUGUAUAAUGCAGUUGAAACUGGUUGUCUUGAGUGAAGUAGAGGUUGGCGGAAUUCCGGGUGUAGCGGUGAAAUGCGUAGAUAUUCGGAGGAACACUGGUGGCGAAGGCGGCCAACUGGGCUGUAACUGACGCUGAGGCUCGAAAGUGUGGGGAGCAAACAGGAUUAGAUACCCUUGUAGUC